UCCAGACUCCUACGGGAGGCAGCAGUGGGGGAUAUUGCACAAUGGGGGGAACCCUGAUGCAGCGACGCCGCGUGGGUGAAGGGGUAUUUCGGUAUGUAAAGCCCUAUCGGCAGGGAAGAAGCAAGACGGUACCUGACUAAGAAGCCCCGGCUAACUACGUGCCAGCAGCCGCGGUAAUACGUAGGGGGCAAGCGUUAUCCGGAUUUACUGGGUGUAAAGGGAGCGUAGACGGUUAUGUAAGUCUGGAGUGAAAGCCCGGGGCCCAACCCCGGGACUGCUUUGGAAACUGUGUAACUAGAGUACAGGAGGGGCAGGCGGAAUUCCUGGUGUAGCGGUGAAAUGCGUAGAUAUCAGGAGGAACACCGGCGGCGAAGGCGGCCUGCUGGACUGAAACUGACGUUGAGGCUCGAAAGCGUGGGGAGCAAACAGGAUUAGAUACCCGAGUAACC
rnacentral:rRNA from 1 species